rnacentral:tRNA from 1 species
GCAUCGGUGGUUCAGUGGUAGAAUGCUCGCCUGCCGUGCGGGCGCCCCAGGUUCGAAUUCCGGCCGAUGCA